UCGGAUAAUUAAGCUACAGUGAACCUCUGCUAAUGAUGCCACGUCACCUCCGUUACUGUUGCUAAUCUCGCGUUAGUUCGAAACCGAUUCAAAUUCAAAAUCAAAAUCAAGCAAACAAUAAAAGUUUUCAAAUGUUAAAACUAAAAUGUUCAUCAUGUGGCAAAUAAUCCCUAACUAGUUUUGGUGGUGGAACCAACCUUUUACAAAGUGUUUAAAUGCCCUAAACUAAUUAAAAACAGUGGCUAAAAUAAUAAUUUAAUUGCUUUUGAAAAUAUAGAAAUAUUAAACUAAUUUAUUCUGUAGUAAAACUUUUUGUGGCAGUGCCAUUCAAUGCAAUUUGAAUUAUGAGGCAAGUUACACUUUUUACAAAAAUCAAUUGAUGGCUCUACUUAAUUUAAAACAGUGUAAAAAACUAAAAGAAAAAUAAAAUUUAAAGAAGGUAGAACCUAAUGUACACUUGGGCUUUAAUUCUAUAGUAUAAGGCCCGGCCCACCCUGCACCUCCUCCUAUCCCUGUUCACAGAGGACGUGCUGGAUGAGCAGCGCUCGUCCAUGGCUCAGAUGGCCGCGUGUCGAGCAUCCGCCGGCUCCCUCGUCCGAUAAGGUCGCCCUGGCUCUCUCUCCCUCCCCCGGACCGAACCCUAGCUCACUUUUCCUCCCCACUCUCGCCCCCUCCUCGCUCGAAGCCGUCGCCCGAGCUCUGUCAUCAACGUCUCCGUGUCGAUCCCGCGGCCACCGGCCAUCCCUCGUCGCUGCACCAUGUCGAGGAGCACCGCCGUCCUCUUCUUCAUCGACUGCAAGCGCCGAUUCCAGCUGGAGCCUCUCUGAGCCGUCGCAAUCGUCGUCUCCGUCGACUACAUCCACCACUGUCGUCGCUCGAUCUACCGCCGUCGACGCCUCCUCGACCCUCUCCGGCCUCUCCCUGGCUCGGUGGUGAGCUCCUCGCUCCGUCCCCCCUUCCUCCCCGUCGAAUCCACCACCGUAGGCCGCCGUUCGACCGCCAUGGCCGGAGCUCGCGGACGCCGUACGCGCCCAGCCGCCCGUGGCUGUGCCUUGGGCCCUGCACGCACGCGCGCCUGUGCUCCACGCGCGCGCCCUCUGUUCGCGCCGUGAUCCCCCUGCCAAGCCCACUGUCGUGGCCCUCUGUCGCUGAGGCCCGUCGCUGCCGCUGCUCAUCACUGCGACCGCGACUGCGUCCCGCGCGCCUUGGCCUCGUGCCACGCUGGCGCCUGCCUCUGCGAGCCGCCGCACCGCCCGUCCCUGCUGCCUGUCGCCUAACGCCUCCCCGCGUGCGUAUUGCUGCUGCUCUUGGCAUGUACUGCUUUCCUGUUGAUGCGUCGGUUCUCUCCUGCGAUGUUGGCUCUACUGCGCUGCUUGCUAGCUGUUGAUGCUAAUUGCUGCUGCUUGCCUGCUGAUGCUGCUUACUAGCUGUUGCUAAUCGCUAGCUGCUGCUCGCGCAUAGCUCCAACAGCUGCAGCUGUUGCCUCUGGCCAGGAGGCCGGCCCGAUUAGAUUAGUCUAAGAUUAGUUAGGUUACAUGAAUUGUUUACUUAGUAUUAUGUGUGAAUGACAUAUGGGUCCACCUAAUUAGAUUAGAUAAAUCCUUUUUGAAAUUAAUAAAGCAGUGACAUGUGGGCCACCAUCUCUGCUUUUGACCGGUCAAAUUGACUUGGUCAACUCGGGUUAAAAUUUAUUAAAUAAUUUUAGGAAAUGAAUAGAACUUAGAAAAUUAAUAUAAAAUAAACCAUAACUUGGAUUAAAAAACUUUGUACAUGAAAGUUGCUCAGAACGACGAGACGAAUCCGAAUACACAGCCAGUUCGUCCACCACACAUCCCUAGCAUAGCAAACACGCAACUUUCCCCCUCCGGUUCAUCUGUCCGAAAACGCGAAACACUGGGGAUACUUUCCCGGAUGUUUCCCCCCUUCACUGGUAUCACCUCCUACUGUGUUAGGUCACCUCUAGCACUGCGUAUUGCCAUGUUAUGUUUUGUGAUGCUUUGAUUGCUCUGUUAUUUAUUGUGUUCCCCCUCCGUUACUUAUUUCCGGUAGACCCCGAGGCUACCGGUGACCCCCAGUUCGACUACGGUGUUGACGACCCGUCCUUCUUGCCAGAGCAACCAGGCAAGCCCCCCCUUGAUCACCAGAUAUCGCCUAUUCCUUCUCUAUACUGCUUGCAUUAGAGUAGUGUAGCAUGUGACUGCUUUCGGUUAAUCCUAUACUGAUGCAUAGCCUGUCAUUGUUGCUACAGUUGUUACCCUUACCUGCUAUCCUACUGCUUAGUAUAGGAUGCUAGUGUUCCAUCAGUGGCCCUACACUCUUGUCCGUCUACCAUGCUAUACUACUGGGCCGUGAUCACUUCGGGAGGUGAUCACGGGUAUAUACUAUAUACUUUAUAUACAUGACACAUGUGGUGACUAAAGUCGGGUCAGCUCGUUGAGUACCCGCAAGUGAUUCUGAUGAGGGGGGCUGAAAGGACAGGUGGCUCCAUCCUGGUAGAGGUGGGCCUGGGUUCCUGACGGCCCCCGACUGUUACUUUGUGGCGGAGUGACAGGGCGGGUUGAGACCACCUAGGAGAGAGGUGGGCCUGGCCCUGGUCGGCGUCCGCGGAUACUUAAUAAUAACACGCUUAACGAGUUCUUGGUAUUUGAUCUGAGUCUGGCCAUUUGGUCUAUACGCACUAACUAACUAUGUGGGAAAGUUAUGGGCACUCGACGUCGUGGUAUCAGUUGAAGCCUUCGUGACGUCAACGACUGAGCGGCGCGCGCCAGAUUGGAACGUAAGCUUGCUCUUGUAUUAAGGGGGCUAGUUCUGCUUCCGGCCGCGUACGCAACGUGCAGGUGUGCAAUGGGCGAUGGGCCCAGACCCCUGCGCCAUAAGAUUUAGACCGGCGUGCUGACCUCUCUGUUGUGCCUAGGUAGGGCUGCGACGUGUUGAUCUUCCGCGGCCGGGCAUGACCCAGAAAAGUAUGUCCGGCCAAAUGGGAUCGAGCGUGUUGGGUUAUGUGGUGCACCCCUGCAGGGAAGUUUAUCUAUUCGAAUAGCCAUGUCCCUCGAUAAAAGGACGACCCGGAGUUGUACCUUGACCUUAUGACAACUAGAACUGGAUACUUAAUAAAACACACCCUUCCAAGUGCCAGAUAUAACCCGGUGAUCGCUCUCUAACAGAGCGACGAGGAGGGGAUCGCCGGGUAGGAUUAUGCUAUACGAUGCUACUUGGUGAACUUACCAUCUACUCUCUCCUACAUGCUGCAAGAUGGAGGUGGCCAGAAGCGUAGUCUUCGACAGGAUUAGCUAUCCCCCCUCUUAUUCUGGUAUUCUGGAGUUCAGUCCAUCGAAUAUGGCCCUUUACACAUAUACCCAUGCAUAUGUAGUGUAGCUCCUUGCUUGCGAGUACUUUGGAUGAGUACUCACGGUUGCUUUCCCCCUCUUUUCCCCCUUUCCCUUCUACCUGGUUGUCGCAACCAGAUGCCGGAGCCCAGGAGCCAGACGCCACCGUCGACGACGACUCCUACUACACCGGAGGUGCCUACUACUACGUGCAGCCCGCUGAUGACGACCAGGAGUAGUUAGGAGGAUCCCAGGCAGGAGGCAUGCGCCUCUUUCGAUCUGUAUCCCAGUUUGUGCUAGCCUUCUUAAGGCAAACUUGUUUAACUUAUGUCUGUACUCAGAUAUUGUUGCUUCCGCUGACUCGUCUAUGAUCAAGCACUUGUAUUCGAGCCCUCGAGGCCCCUGGCUUGUAUUAUGAUGCUUGUAUGACUUAUUUAUGUUGUAGAGUUGUGUUGUGAUAUCUUCCCGUGAGUCCCUGAUCUUGAUCGUACACAUUUGCGUGCAUGAUUAGUGUACGAUUGAAUCGGGGGCGUCACAAGUUGGUAUCAGAGCCAACUGCCUAUAGGAAUCCCCCUUCCACACUCCUUGGCCGAAGUCGAGUCUAGACAUUGCAAAAACUUUUACUAACAUGGCUGUGUGUCUUACGGGCACACGUCGCCAUUGGGUGGUAGUAGGAUCUUUUAUUCCUCGACCUAUACUCUGGGACUCUGACAUCUCUUCUAUUCAGGUUAAACGAUUUUACUAACUCCGACUCUAGGUUCUCGAUAAUACUGUCUCCCGGAGAGCCCCUUAUUACAGAUGAUCGUCUGCUGCACCAGAAGAAUCUGAAGAUACUCUCCGAUGUUCUCUUGAAACUUUAUGGCAUCGCUUUUGCAAUUCCCUUCCAUCGAUAAACCCCUAUGGAUAACCACAUAUACUCACAAUUCAUACAAUGCUUCCUAGUUGAUCUUGUUAUUACAAGAUACCCCGAAAUUCUCUCUGUUGUUCCGAGAAUCCUUUGAGCUUACUGCCUUGCUGUUCUUUGCCACCUGAAUACCCCUACGGAUAAUUUCUCGCCCUUAUCGAGUAUCCGCUCAUCCCCAGUUGUUCAGGUGUUUCACAAAAGUCUUCGAAAUACUAUUCGAUCCUUCAAAAAUCCUUAGCAGCUUAUUGCUCUGCAAACACUUGUCUGCUUGCAUCAUGGAUGCUUCCCAUAUGUCUGGCAAUAUCCAUUAGUCUCCUUUUGACACCGUCAUUUUGAACCUAUUGAUUCAACAUGAGUGCAAGUGCACGCAAUCAUCGGUUGAUCCUUUUAAAUUAUCUUUCCGGCUCAGAUGUCAUUUUGAACAUGAGCUAGUUAUCGACCCAUCAAAUUGCCGUCGAUUGUAUCCCCAAGUCUAUUCAACUUAUCCAUUUUAAUCAAACUGUUGGCUUCUGAUCCCUUGAUUUGGAAAUGAUAAAAUUCCUUUGCAUCUGAACUUUGAAUUAGUCAGGUGUUUCUAUAAUCUAAUGCCUUUGCAUUGUUUCUUCCUCUGAUUGUGUCGAUGCUCACAUCAGCUCCGUUAUGGACCGGCAGAUCCUUUGUUGGAUUUUAUCCAACAGCGUCCUUCAUAUUCAAUAACCUUGUGAGCCAUCCCUCAGAUACAUAGUGCCUUUGGUAAAUUGUAUCCUCUGCUUUCUCAACCAUGCUCUGCUUCGAGCAUGUCUUAUUUGAUCCUAAAGUUCAUGGUAUAUGUUCUAAGAUGCCUCAAUGGGUUGAACCAAUGCCUUAACUAAUCUAUGUGAGCCCGAAGGAUUUCACGGGCCAUACUCAUCUGGUAUUUCACCAGGUAAAACUUUCAACACUAAUGCCAUUAUCAAAACGAGAAGUGAAUGUAAGGUUCUGCUUUGGAGAAGUGGGAGUCGACCUUGAACUUUGUGUUCAUGCCCAUGGACCCGAUGUGGAAUCUACCAUGGAAGCUUCUUGUAUUAAUAAUGGUCCCCUUGUUAUAAGUUCAUCUUGUAUCUAUGUUGGUCCUUUGCAACCGUGGUUCCGACCAUGAUUGAUCAUCUUUGAUCCUUUUCUCGGACAAGUUGAACCACUUGUCCUCUGCAGAUCAAUGCACCCGUCCAACCUCUAUUAUGAUCUACCUUCGAGUAUUACCCCGUGGUAUCUCGAUAAUAGCACAGAACCAUAUUACUUCUUGUGAGUUCUUCAUCAACUAUUAUUUCUCAAUGAUUCCAAUUUUCUCCAGGUUUUGAGUUGUUUGUCACUCGAAACACCGAUAACUGAAUCGAGUCCGUUCUACGGUUCAACUACUCUUUGUAAUCCUUAUUACCUGCGAGUUGUACUCGCUGAUGUCAUUCCCAACCGAUUGGCUACAUCAUCAUCGUCAUGUUAAAGCUUAAACUGUGCUACCUGGUCCUUCUUCCCGGAGCACAAAUUUCGACGGUGAGCUAAACUUACGUCGAUCUUCCUUGUCUAACCGUUUCACCUCAAACAACAUGCUUGAUCCCGAGUUUGUGUCGUAUUCGUGGUUUCAAUAACUUUUUGCUCCAUCCUUCCUUUUGCUUGAUGUCGUCGAUGAGCGAUUAUAUCUUCAUGAAACCUCUCGACAAUUGUGUCAUGAUCAUCAUCAACAUUCUGAGCUCUUCCAGGAUAUCAAUUGAAUUCAUGAUGAGAAAUACCAUCCUUGCCCUCGAUGAGUUGUGUUGUCAUCGACCACAUUAUUGCCUUCCCUCCAACACAAACUUGUUCGUGUUUUGUGUUAUACCUUGAGUUCCUUGCUAUCCAGCAUUUCUUCUUCUUUACCUUGGAGUAUUACCAUCUUUUAUAUCAAGAAUUUCAUGAGGAUUACUCCACCUCUUAAGAAUUCUUGGUAUAGUGAUACUUCUCACCAUCACCAUUCUUUCUUGGUCCCCGUGUUGCUUCCAACAAGUGAACGGUGUUGUUUGGAUUAUUUCCUUCUAGCAACCCUAUUGCUUUGAAGUUAAUGGCCGACAUUCCAUUCUUAGAUCAUUGGUUAUCGAAUCACCAUUAUAACAUCGGUCAUGCUACCUAAGCCCAUAUUUCGGAUGCACCUUUCAACCAAUGUUUAAAUUGGGUAUGUUUUCCUCGAGCAUAUUUCCUCAUAUCAUUUGAUCUGAUAAAUGUUAUCUCUUUGUUCACAUGAUUGUGGAAAUCCAUCUUUUGGAAAUCUCGAUGAAUUGUCGUUUAGUUCAUCAGCUACCAUCUCAUCCUAUCCUUGGUUUAAUGAUGAACUCUUGUUUCGGAAUUCGCUUCCAUAGAUCAUUUCCGAGAAUCUCAUAAUGACCUCUCGUCAAAUUGUGUUGAACCUCUUCUUCUCAGGCAUCCUGAGUCUGAGGUAUCCUGACACCAAUCGGAUCUGAAUCUCGGUCAGAUAUGAUGGUUGGGACAUAUUUCCAAGAGUUAUAACAUUGGUCUCUACGUAACCCGGUAAGGUGGUGUCUUUGCUUAGCACCCCUGGCCAGAGGCCCUAUGUUAUAGUUUCCUUUUUAGCAAGGAUAUCCAUUCUUCCAUGAUGAAAUUGUAAGACUUAUUCUACAAGUUGUCCCUGAUGGAUCCUUUGUGUAUCCAAAGUCUGAUCUUUACCCAGUGACCAUGUCAACGCUAUCUCGAAGCAUGUCUGUGGUACUCCGAUUUUCAACAAGAACAUUUGAAGCCCAAUGCUAAAUGUUUCCUGCUCAAUUAUCCAAACACCGCUGUAGGGGUAAUGUCUUGAAAUUUCUCUCCCCUUACCCAAAGAGUUUUCUGCAUUAUAUCCUGUCAUGGAUAUCAUGCUUUGCUUGCCCUUGGGAAGGAUAUACCCUUGAAAUAUGUGUAUAAACACAUUUUCCUUUCCAUUGUUCUGUUUGAUCUGAUAAUCAUAUUUUCCUUUCCAUUGUUUUGUUUAACCUUUCUGUGAUCUAUAUGAUCUAAGCAGUAAUAAUUUACUGCUUAUGUAAACACCUCGAUGUACAACUCUGUCAGUAAGACCCUGUUGCUUUUGUUAAUGGCAUUCUGGUAACCGCCGAUGGACGAGAACUUUGCCUAUUGGUCUGCCUCGUUCAACGAGCAGGAAGAUGGUUCUCUUCGUCCCUCGCCCUUGGUACCGACGUUGUUGCCAACAUAAUCGACAGGCUACCCUCUGACCCGCCUUGCUAUCAUAACCAUGCAAGAUGUCACCGCUCCUCCUACUUUUAACCCACAUGGUGGGCCCAUAACCCACAGUUCCACAGGAUCGAAAUCUGACUCUCUUGUACAUCCUUGAUUCUGAAGUAUCCUUUGCACUUAACUUCGUAUGUAAUUCACGAGUCACCGUCCUACAGAUGAUCUGUUCUGGUAUCAGACGCAAUACUUACUCUCGCUGCUUUGAACCCCUUUCUCACUCUGAUUCAGACUUCGAGCAACUACCUAUCCGUUUGAAGCUUCUCAUGAUACCUUAUUACGUUGCUCUCGAUAUCUUCUUAAGUUUCAAUUCGAGAGAUACUUAUGCUUCUUCCCAUGAGUUAACCUUCCGAUGCUCAAUCUUGUUAGAACCCGUCCUUAUGAAGUUUUUCCCCUCUUAUCCUUUCGUAAGUUCGGUGAAGAUCCUGAAGGAAGGACAACAAUUUCAUCAUGAUGCAUUGGUGCAUAGGAAUGAAGACAUCAACGCUAUGGACCUACCUCUUCGCGAAAAGCAACCAAGACUGAGAAGACUCGAUAGAAUUUCGUAACCACAUCUUUCCCCUUACUCUACAUCUUAAAUCUCGGGACGAGAUUUCUUGUAGUGGAGGAGAUUUGUGACGCCCGGAUAAUUAAGCUACAGUGAACCUCUGCUAAUGAUGCCACGUCACCUCCGUUACUGUUGCUAAUCUCGCGUUAGUUCGAAACCGAUUCAAAUUCAAAUUCAAAAUCAAGCAAACAAUAAAAGUUUUCAAAUGUUAAAACUAAAAUGGUCAUCAUGUGGCAAAUAAUCCCUAACUAGUUUUGGUGGUGGAACCAACCUUUUACAAAGUGUUUAAAUGCCCUAAACUAAUUAAAAACAGUGGCUAAAAUAAUAAUUUAAUUGCUUUUGAAAAUAUAGAAAUAUUAAACUAAUUUAUUCUAGAGUAAAACUUUUUGUGGCAGUGCCAUUCAAUGCAAUUUGAAUUAUGAGGCAAGUUACACUUUUUACAAAAAUCAAUUGAUGGCUCUACUUAAUUU
rnacentral:lncRNA from 1 species